GCUCCCAAAGCGGGGCAAAGACCCCACCAGACCCCGCUAUCUGUCGUUUUAAAUUUAUUAACAAGCUGCACAACUAUACAGCAAGGUGAACUUGUUGACACUCUCACCAGAGGCGGAUCUAGAGUUUUUCUUUUAGGGUGGCCAUGGUGGGGCAGGAGGUGGCCAUGGUGGGGCAGGAGGUUCCAGCAGGGGGCAAAAUGUGUUGUCUUCAUGAAAAGUUUUAUUUCUGGACUUUGUUUAUGCAUUCAGGCUAUCUAUGUCAACACUUACCUGAGUGUUGUCAGUUUUCYUCAAAUGGGGCGCGCACCCUUUAGAACGCCGGUCGGCAAAGCGGCCAACCGGGUGGGCUUUGUUUAUGCUCAGUUUUAAGUUGUAUAUCUGCUGAAUGCUCAGCUCAAAUYUAAUGUAAACAAAACAAAGUUUGUUGCUUUUGAUCAGUAAGAGGCGCUCUGAUAAACUGCAGGUGAUUUCUGAUGURUUUAUUUUUAAUUUAUUUUUUGUCUUUGUUGAGCAUUUAUGUCAUCAGCUGUUAAUUGUAACUAUACAAUUAAACCGCACUGAUCGAUCAUUCGUAAUUUAAGGUGACACCACCAUCCCACCAUCCAAUGCUAUGCUCUUUUUUUUUAAGGAGGCUCCUCCUUUGCUCUCUUGCAUGCAUGAUUUUGGUUUGUGGGGAGAGAAAACCCAUGCAUGCACUUGGUGAACGUGUACACUCCACACAGGAAGGCCUCAGCCGGCGACAGKUUUGAUAAAAACAAACCCAAAUGAAGCAACCCACUCCUGCUUCCUCAUGAUAAAGGAUAGAGAGAGGGGCUUCUGAAUUUAAUAUAUUUAAUUGCUUUAAAUUAGGUUUUACUAAAGUCUUUAAAUUGCCUGUUUGUUUGCAGGUAAAACUGUUAUGAAAUUGAAGAGCGGUGUGCAAAUUCUAAAUUUAAAAAGUUUAAAGAGCCCUGGAGAUGUCUUUGCCUUAACAUUUUACAAAACAUACCAAACUAUAUAAACUAGCCUACAAACAGAAUAGUUAUUUCCAGUGGCAGCUGCCACUUAGUGCCACCCCCUAGAACCGCCACCGACUCCCACUCUCCACGUUUUGCUUUUUAAAAACAAGAGUGCCGGCUAAAGUGUGUUAGUUCCUGGAGCCUGAGCCCUGCUGUUUGGAAAUGACAGCUGAUAUAUUUGCAAACCCAACAUGCAAAGGAAGUCCUGGAGGUUUUUUUGGGGGGAAGUCAGGGCUAACUGGCAAGUUCUGAUUUUAAGCUCAGAAAACAUCAACAUCUGGAGGUGGUGUCGCUGAGAAAUUGCACGAAAAGAACUUCUCCUUUUCUCGUUGUUUGUGAUUGGGUGGAAGUUAUGUUCUGCAAGACGUGUCGGCAGCAGCAGCAGCAGCAGCAGCGUUGCAACACUGCUUCCUCGCUCUGAAAGCUGCAGCGGUUUAUUCCACUGUAACCUUUGUAACAUACUCUUUAAAAUCAACAGCCGGUGCCCACGGGGCUGCAAACACUUAAUCACAGCUGCUUUUUGGUGCUGAAAGUAAACCGGCCGUAAGAGGUGAAAAUCACCGCUGCAGUUCUUAUGAAACAAUAAAUAUCGUUUUCUUUCUUUAGCUUCAUUCUAGAGCUUUAAAAUAAUAUUUUAUAACAAAAAAUAAAAAUCCACAGUCUUUUAAAAGUUGUGUUUUUUUCCCUUAAUGCAAAUACUGUGAUUGCAGUUAGAAUGCUACAAUGAUUUCCUGUUGAUAGGGGGCAGUGGUAACAUAUGGAGGACUGCUGAAUCUGUUUUGGCUCUCCUAUCAGCAUCUUGGUUUWCUACAGAUCUCAUCUUGAAGGAUCAGAUUUUAUUUUUGGUGUUUGRUCGUAGCGGCUUUGCAUCAAAGACAUUGAGACAGACAGCAGUAAACUGUGUAACGUUCCCUGUUCACACCACAUCCCCUGUGGGCCAGCUCCAGUUUCCCUUUAGAAAACACUAAAGGAUGCACGUUGUUGGGGAAUGUCAACAUUGUUAUCCCUUUUGUUGCCGCUACGAGCCCRGUUCCAUCUCCCACCUUUUGAAAUGCAAAAAUCAGAGCGUCUUUAAUUUUCGGAGGGCUGCCUCGGUGGUUAUUUGAGAGCCGCGCAGGACGGACCUGUUCCAGCUUGAGAGAGCGGCAGUGAUUUAGUUUUUUUUUUUUUUUAGGCAAGGAGCUCCCAGCAGCCCUUGUGGACAUUAUACUGAUCCGCCCAUUAGAUGGCCAGCAACAAACGCUCCAAGAAUGGAGGGAUUACGGCUUAAAGACACAGUGCCAUCCAUUUGCUCUGCUCCCUUUUUUUACUCACUGAUGGUGUCAGCUUGUAUUCAAACACAACAUUCUCGCUAAGCCRCACAGAGCUGCCAGUUUUGUGCURCAUAGUAGGUGUGCAGGCACGGAUCGUUAGAAGAAGGUCUGUAAAUCCCCCUCUUGGUUUUCCUCGGAAGAACAGAGCCGCAGCUAGAUGGCUGUAUGUAGUCGCUUCAGACGCUUCUGGGAAGCAGCAUCAUCUCACAGGCGUGUGUAACAAAAAAAAAAAAAAAACCACUCCUGGGAGGUUGAAAUCUGGAGGGUCUACGCUAUGACUGCGCUGUGAAGCGUGCAGCGUGGAAAAGUUGUGCUCGAACACAGCUUAAAACCCACAACCUAAUAAGAGCAGCAGCUUCCAUGGUUGGAGAUGUAAAGUUCACAGCGUGAGGCUAAAAUUGCUCUUGGGCUGUGAAACGCACAGGCUUCAUGACUCGCUGGCUUUCUGUGUCGAUAAUUGUCAUAAAUUUCAACAAGGUGCGAGGAGGAAACGCAUAAAACCUGUGAAAAAUAGUGCUUUUUACAGAGUUGUACACCGGAGCACUCGAACACAAAUAAAGAGUUUUGUAGUAAUGUUGAGGAAUACACUCAAUUUUUCUGUUUCUUUUGUUUUGUUUGAUUAUUUGUUCUAUUUUAUGCUGCUUAUAGAUUUUAGCUACCAUCUGCUACUUUUUGCUUGAAGUUAGCAUUCUGCUGCCUCAAAAUUUUAGCUUUUCUUCUACUGUUUUCUUACUUUUAGUGUUUAACUAGCCUUUUGCUGUUUUCUUGUUUUAGCUACUGUUUUUAACUCUUUUGCUUUUAGCUAGCAUUUUGAUAUUUUAACUAUAAGCUAACCUUUUGUUGUUUCUACUUUUGCUUUUGCUACUGAUAGUAUUUAGCUUUAUUUUUAGCUUCUAGCUUGCAGUUUUAAACUCACUGCUAAGUUUUUGCUGCUUUGAGCUAGCCGUUUGCUACUUUCAGCUGGUGUUCAUCUAUUUUUAGCUGUUUUUAGUUAGUGUUAUGAUCAUUUAACUUCUCAGCAAAUCAUUCUGUGCUCAGGAUUCACUGCGUUUUUGCAGAAAAUGCCAUUCCUCAUGAUUUUUUUAAGCUCCUUGUUUUUUUUUUUCUGCGUGCAUCCCAGCACAAUGUGCUYUGGUCUAAUGGUUCUCAGACACACCCACGUCAGAGCAAGCCUGUAAUUAUGGAAAGUGUGUGUUUGUGUUUAUAGGCCAAGUAUUAGUGAGGUUGGAGAAGAUGACACUGCAAACCUAGCCCUCUUUCCCACCAUUUCUUCAAGCAGAACAGUUGAAGCUGCAGGUAAACAGGACCUGCGACGUGAUGUUUGCCUCUUUAAGAUAUACUGUAGCUUCUUGUGGUGGCAACAUGUUGCACAAAAGUUGUCUUUUUUAUUUUCCUCCUCUGAACUUUAAAGAAAAUGUCUUUGAGUAAUUGGUGAAGYUAUCAUAUAGCUUUGCUUGUUAAACUGGUCAGAAAAACUUACGGCGGCACGAUGUCAGGAAAACCUGCGAUGUGUGAUAACGGUGCUUAGUAUGACUUAUGAUAAAUAAACAAAUAAAGUUGUAAUAAAUAAACAAA